rnacentral:rRNA from 1 species
GUGGGGAAUAUUGGACAAUGGGCGAAAGCCUGAUCCAGCCAUGCCGCGUGUGUGAAGAAGGUCUUCGGAUUGUAAAGCACUUUAAGUUGGGAGGAAGGGCAGUAAGUUAAUACCUUGCUGUUUUGACGUUACCGACAGAAUAAGCACCGGCUAACUUCGUGCCAGCAGCCGCGGUAAUACGAAGGGUGCAAGCGUUAAUCGGAAUUACUGGGCGUAAAGCGCGCGUAGGCGGUUUUGUAAGUUGGAGGUGAAAUCCCCGGGCUCAACCUGGGAACUGCCUCCAAAACUGCAUGACUAGAGUACGGUAGAGGGUAGUGGAAUUUCCUGUGUAGUGGUGAAAUGCGUAGAUAUAGGAAGGAACACCAGUGGCGAAGGCGACUACCUGGACUGAUACUGACACUGAGGUGCGAAAGCGUGGGGAGCAAACAGGAUUAGAAACCCCGGUAGUCC